CGUAAAAACCCUAUUUGUAAACAACCAGUCCUUUAACUAAGCGCUACGUCAUAAACACGGCGCGCUUGGAAGACCACGAUGUCAUCUUCCUUCUGUCAGGAGGAUCCCAGUGAAGCUACAGGAGUUUCAUUAACGUCAACAACUUGGACCGAACGGUUUGUUUUGCUUGAUGAAGAGCAGGAAGGGCAGCCUGGAGAGAAAGAGAAGCCGGGUUGAGCCCACUACCAUCAUCCACGUACCACGAGGAAGAUGAGGGAGAGAAAUGAUCCUACCAUUAAAGAGACUGUGAAAAGAACGUUGAGAACAUCACCACUCUACAGGAAGACACAGUCCAGUAAUGGGUGUCAGAAUUUCAGUAGUGAACGACAGGUACUGUGGAAAAAUGUGUGUCAUUGUUGUACAAUGUCCUUUGACUCUGUUUACACAAGGUUAACACAAAAAGGUUUGAUUGUAAACUGAUAUUGGUAUGAAUUCAUGUUAUUCUCCUCUUCACAAGAAACAAACAAUCCAAAUUACCUGCAGAAAGCCCUUGAUGGACGCUUCAGCUGCAUCGUCAGACUGGCCAGACAGCAAGAUGCCAACUUUAAUGCCAAUUUAUUUGUGUAACAUUCUGUGACCAAAUGUAUAGAUAACUUUUUGUAGAUUGUAAAAAAGAUAACCCAUUUAUUAAAAAAAAACUACACUAGAA